GUGGCGGAGAUGGAGAAUAUGAAGAGUAUUGCAAUAGCUGGAAUCAGUGAGAUGAGGUGGUCUGGCAGUGGGGAAACAACAACAUCAAAUAGCAAUCUACACAGUGCCAACAAUGACGGAAGCAGAUACGGGGUGGGGAUCUAUGUGUCCAAGCGCAUAAAAAAGACAGUGCACUCCUGGGAACCCAUUUCUGAUAGACUCAUGAAAGCCAGAUUCAGAUGUAGAGCUAGACAUAAAGAUAUAAACAUCAUACAAUGCUAUGCCCCGACGGAAGACGCCAAAUAUGACACCAAGAACGACAACUACACUGCCCUUACAGCAACCCUCAGCAAGACGCGGCAAGGUGACAUUAACAUCCUCAUGGGUGACUUAAACGCGAAAGUAGGUCCCAACAACACCGGACUAAGAUCUGUCAUGGGCCGACAUGGAACUGGGACUCGCAAUGACAACGGAGAGAGAUUAGUGGAACUCUGCCAGGUAUUCCAACUGGUCAUCGGCGGCACAAUAUUCCCACACAAAGAUGUCCACAAAUACUCCUGGACAUCUCCUAGUGGUAAUACGCGCAACCAGAUCGACCACAUUUGCAUUAGCAGGAAAUGGAGACACUCACUACUGGACGUUCGAAACAAAAGGGGAGCAUCUAUAUACAGUGAUCAUGAGUUGGUCAUUGGAGAACUUGAAAUAAAGUUGAACCGCAACUACCCAAGGAACACUGACAACAGCCAACACCGACGAGCGCCCCCCCUGAACCUGCACCUCCUUAGCGACUACACUCUGAGGAAGAGAAUGACGUCCACAUUGCGGGAACAACUGAUCCCUCUAGAAGACUAUUGCACCUGCAGACAGCUAAGAACCACAGCUGAGCAAAUAAUUGGGCUGCAACAACGCGGAAGAGCAGACUGGAUAUCUGAAGGGACCUGGGAUCUGAUUAGAAGGAGGAACAACCUGAAGCCUCUGGCGGACCAGCUCACACAGAAUCGUGAAGAAUAUCGCGAACUGUGCAGAGCUGUGAAAAGAGCGGCCAGAAAGGACAAACGAGGGCUACUGGAUAGACUUGCGACAGACGCUGAACGAGCAGCCUGCGAGAACAACAUGCGCUCGUUAUACCAGCAGAUUGCACUGAUUGCCGGAACCCACUACAGACGGAACCAGCCAGUCAGAGACCUAGAAGGCAACCUCUUAUCCAAUGAUGAUGCACAAAUCCGGAGAUGGCGCCAACACUUCAUGGGAAUUAGCCACACCACAUCACCAAACGUGGCUAAGGGCUAUAGAAGCAUUGCGCCACCAAGUCGGAAUACCAGGAUACCCUCUACACCCCCGCAUGUAAGAGAGAUUGUGAAUGCAAUAAAGAAGCUAAAGCGCAACAGGGCAGCCGGCGAGAACAACAUACCAGCCGAACUGCUUCAAGUUGACACUCAGCUGAUGGCUGAUACGCUGCAUCCACAUUUCGUACGCAUAUGGGAAGGCGAGACUGUACCUGACUCCUGGAAAAGCGGAAUCAUCGUGAAGCUCCCUAUGAAAGGCGGCCUUAGCGACUGCAACAACUGGAGAGGGAUAACACUACUCAACACUAGCUAUAAAAUCCUAGCUACACUGCUAAACGAACGCCUCCAGAAAGAAAUCGAGCCAACAAUCCGAGACGAACAGGCAGGCUUCAGACCACACAGGAGCUGCGUAGAUCAGGCAAACACACUACACAAGCUGUGGAAUGGAGAAGGCGUUCGACUCAGUUGAAAGGGCAGCAAUAUGGCGAUCACUUGCAAGGAAAGGACCUCAUCGCUAUCAUUAAAUCGAUGUAUGACGAUGCCAACUUGGCGGUACUGCACAACGGAAAAACAAGUGAACCUUUCUAGACGAACACCGGAAUUCGGCAAGGAUGCCCUCUAUCACCUCUACUCUUCAACAUCGUGGUUGACGAGUUAAUGAGCGAAGUAUGCUCGUCCAAGCGCGGAAUUACGUGGAGAUACCUUGAGGACUUGGACUAUGCAGACGACAUCUGUCUUAUCUCUCAUAGACUCGGCGACAUACAGAGGAAAAGUGAUGACCUCGACAGGAUAGCCAGCAGCGUGGGACGUAGCAAAAACAAAAGCUAUGCGAUUCAACCACUCCAACCAAGGAAACAUCAUCAUACAUGGGAACCCAAUCCAGUUCGUCAACAGUUUCCCAUACCUUGGCACCAUAAUAUCCAACAAUGGAGAAGUGGAUGUUGAUGUCUCGUGUCGUCUUGGCAAAGCCCGCUCAGCUUUUGGGAGACUAUACCGCAUUUGGAGAAACAGAGAAAUAAGCCGGGGAACAAAGCUCCGUGUCUAAAAUGCGUGUGUGAAAUCCUUACUGCUAUACGGAAGUGAGACAUGGCUCGCAACGAAGAAAGUAACGCAGAAACUGCAGGUUUUCAGCAACAAUUGCCUGAGAAUCAUAUGUGGGAUAUUCUGGCCAAACAGAAUAGCCAACACAGAGCUGUGGUGCGUUACAAGCGAGCCCCCGAUACACACCCAAAUAAGGAAGUAUCAUAGUAAGGAUGGCACUGGACUGGAAACCCCAAGGAAGCAGGAUGGUAGGAAGGCCAAGAGCAACAUGGAGAAGAACCGCUCAAGAAGAACUUGCCCAAAUAAACAUCACAUGGGAAAUUGCUAAACAGACAGCACAAAACAGAGUUAGAUGGAAGGCUCUCGUAUAGCCUUCCCGUGAUGCCCGUGUUGGUGAAGGCCCUCGAGGAGGAGACUGUUGGAAAAUCAUCCAUUAGCUGGGUUUAAAGUCUAUUCUUGUAGUCGUGCAAUUCUUACACGAAUUCCCCACAGCCUUCGCCAGAUUCAUGAUUUAGGAAUCCAUUACUUCGAUCGGAUCAGGCGUAUGAUCGAUUAACUACCGCCGUGAAGUGUUAUCUGGUGAGCAAAUUGGAUGAGAGGGCGAGACAGUCUACAGUCGUAGGGGAGAAUUAUCGAAUUCACCACUGCCAGAACGUCGACGACGUACAUGUUCUGCUUAAUGAAGGGGCUGGCUUUUGGAAAUGGCACAUAGACGUACUCUGCCAGCUGUUGCAGUACUCAAAUGGCGAAAAAUGGGGCGCACUUGACCCCGAAGGGUCGCAAAACGGAAGCUUCACCAUGUACCUCCCCCUUGCGACUCUCUUCGUAGUUUGUAUGAAGGCCUUUCUGCAAUAGGAAUCAGAAUCUUUUACCAUCUGGACUGGUUAAUCAUCCACCCCUCAGAACUUGCUGAAAGGCGUGUCGAGCGAAUAGGUCGCCUAUCUGGUGCACCUGAGUCGUGAAGGAUGCGAACCGUUUCGGAUUACCCUGGAAAUCGGCCCUGUUAGCAACCACCCGAAAAUAGUUUCUUGACCCAGGAGCGAGCCGCAAAUAUUUUUUCGGGUGGUAUCCAUCAUGAUGGACGGAACACACUUGAUUACCCGCACAUGAAGUCAAUCAUUCAAAGAAGAUGAUGGGACAUGGAAAGGCAAUGAUGAUGGAAAAGUUGUAAAUAAUCAACCACAAAGAGUGAUGGAUGAUAGAAAUGGCAUGAUGGCGCAAGCGGGUUAUAUCGGCAGG